CUGCGCAGGAGGGAACGGACUUUGUAGCAGUCACUUUGCCCGAAGGGCGACGCGUCUCUGCUUUUGCAGGCGGCAGCUCGGACUCCCCUCACUCUUCCCAGCGUUGCGUUUGCCUCUGUCUUUGCCUCGAGUUCCCCGCAGCCUCUCCAGCGGGAGGCGCUUUUGGUAUUCGUACCCUGGGCAUGAACCAACAGGACUCCCCAUGCCCUGUGCUUUUUCAGUGGGUUCGAAGAUCAGAGAUUGCGAGGUGCUCUGGGUGAUCGCUCAAGGAGCAGGGAGCUUCCUCCCCCUGAUUUUGGCCUUCUCGCUGUGCGGUGAGUGGAUAGCGGGCGCGCAGUGUGGCAGUGGCGGCGAAGAUUGGCGCUAUCAGGAGGAGCAAAAGGGAAGGAUCUGCUGCUGGGGGCUCGCUGGGUGACCCUUUGCCAGACGAAAAGAGCUGGUCGAGAGAGAAGCGCUUGGCAGGAGCUCUCUGCGGGACCUAAGCUCCGUGGCUGCUCGGGAUCCCUACGUCCGCUGCUGCUGAAGGAGCAGAGGGGAGGACGCCAGCGGUUGCUUACUGGAGCCUGGAGGAAAAUGGAAACAUCAUUCCCUAGAAACAGUUGAAGUUGACAGACCUAGAGGUUGACAAAAGGACACGACACUAGGUUUUUUGGGAUCCUCAACAGAUUGGAUAAUGCUCAUCUGCAUUGAUGAGGGAGUUCCUGCUCACUCAGUCUAUUGAUGAAUUUGCAUUGUCAUGUUUCGAAAUACCAUUCCAAAGACCUGCAAAUAAGUUUGCUUUCAUCAUUACAUGUUGAGCCCAGGACAAGAAAACCA
rnacentral:lncRNA from 1 species